CAGCCCCGGACCUGCUCCGAGCGCAGCCGUGAUGCCUCCAACAACCCCAGGACAGGCAGAGGAUGGCUCUGGAGACCUGCUAUUGCUGACAAGACCUGGAGCAUCAGCAUCUGCAGAGAGUGACCACAGGGAACUGCCAGGGACCAGCCAAGACCCUCCAUUGCAUUUGUCCAG